CAAUUCCUGGGAGGCAGCAGUGGGGAAUAUUGCACAAUGGGGGAAACCCUGAUGCAGCGACGCCGCGUGGGUGAAGAAGCGCCUCGGCGCGUAAAGCCCUGUCAGCAGGGAAGAAAAUGACGGUACCUGAAGAAGCCCCGGCUAACUACGUGCCAGCAGCCGCGGUAAUACGUAGGGGGCAAGCGUUAUCCGGAUUUACUGGGUGUAAAGGGGGCGCAGACGGCGAUGCAAGCCAGGAGUGAAAGCCCGGGGCCCAACCCCGGGACUGCUCUUGGAACUGCGUGGCUAGAGUGCAGGAGGGGCAG
rnacentral:rRNA from 1 species